rfam:Trichobilharzia regenti genome assembly, scaffold: TRE_scaffold0011654
AUCCAGUUGACGAGUCCCAAAUAGGAGGAAAUGAGCGUUAUCCUAGAU